GGCGCCGGCGAUAGCACGUUGAAUGCAUCGGUUUCUAAUGGUUGACUAUAGUUAAACAACGUUGCACGUGGUAUCCGGAUGGGUGACCAUCUGGGCAGUCGCGUGCUGUUUUUU
rnacentral:rRNA from 1 species